UAGCAGGCUGUGCUCUUUGUCUCCCUUGACUUCUAUCAAGCACCAGAUAUAGUGUCAUCUCCGUGUGGGUGCUCUGCAAACACUAAUUGAUGGUGAUCAGGAUAAUGAUGUUGACAAAUGGCUCCAUGAAACUGAUGAAUCAUUUGCUGGAAGAGGCCACGUACAGCAAUUAUGUUGUCUUGCUUCACCAAACAGGUUACCACAAGAUAUUGAAUAUAGUUCCUUGUGCUAUACAGUGGAAACUUAUUUAUCUAUUUUUUUAUAUAAUAGUAUCUGCAAGUCUCGAACUCCCAAUUUAUCACUUCCCACCACCUUCCCCCACCAGUAACUAAAGAUGGUUCCACAUUUUAGACAAUCAGGGCUUCCUUACUCUGAAAUGCCUGUGUAAAGCCCUCCAGUGCUCCUGCUCUAAGCAGUACCCAGGACUGACAGCCCGCACGCCCACACGGCAGGGAGCUGAAGGCAGCCUCGGGCCGAUGGCCACUAGCAACUGAAGCCCUCAGUCCCUCAGCCUUUGUGGAACUGAAAUCCUGCCAACAUCACGUGAGCUUGACAGUGAAUUCUUCCCUAGUCGAUCCUUCACUCUGCCAGCCCGUCGGACACCUGGGUUACGGCCUCAAGGAGAUGCCCCAGAGCAGAGGACCUGUAUCUGGACUCCUGACCCACAAAAACUGUGAGAUAUGAAACGGCACUGUAAUGUCAUCCCACGGGCCAAGAGAGCUUGGAACACAAUACCUAGGAGAACCCAGGGAUGGUGGUCCACCAGGCUCCCUUUGGUUCCUAACAGCUUCCAGAGGAGGAACGCCCGAUGGGGAGGGAGCUUCUAUUGCCUUUGUGGAAAAUCAGUUUCCUGGGAACUGAACACACUGAAGUAUUUUCAGAGGAGAAAACUGGGCCUAUGAGGGAGAUGUGACUUGCCCAAGACCACACAAGAAUGGGGGUAGGGAAUAAACACCCAAGUGAGGUCAGCAAGCAGUUUGGUCUGAGAAACAGAGGGAUCCUGCCAGUUGCUGUUCCCAAUGAUUCAUUCCAGAACUGGGGAAAGAGCCACAGGAUGGGUCUGGGGACACAGAGGACCCAGUGCGAGACGGAGAUGAGCUAAAAUCCUAUUGAUCAUCUGAACCCCACAGAAUUCAUGGAGCAGCUGUAUGGGAACUAUGCAAACUGAAUGGUAGCAGACAGCCUGGGAAAGAAGAGCAGAAUUUGAAGCUUCAUCAAACAGGGCCAUCUUCUUCCCCGGGUCUGGGACCUCGUCCACCACCUCUGUGACCCACCACCUGGAUCCGGAUGCCCCUCGCAGACAGCUGAUGCGGACAAUCUGAAGUCCUUUCAGAAGCAGUUGGAAGACGAGACCACUGUAGAAAGAGAUGAAGGAACCCUGGAAAGAUUUCUUUUGAAACAAAGGAGCUUUGGAAAGAUGUCAACCUGGAUGAACUUGAUGUGUCCUCAAGGAAAUAUGACAUGAUGAGAACAAGGCUGCAUAUAAACCAACAAAUAUUACACAACCUACGGAAUGAGAGAAAAUACGUGCCAAUGAUGCAACUGGCAAGGGCUUAAUCACCAGAAUAUACAAACAGCUCAUACAACUCAAUAACAAAAAAACGAACAACCCAAUAAAAAAAAUGGGCAGAAGACCUACAGAGACAUUUCUCCAAAGAAAACAUAUGGAUGGUCAGUAGGCCCAUUAAAAAAUGCUCAAUAUCACUAAUUAUCAGAGGAACGCAAAUCAAAACUACAAUGAAGUAUCACCUCACACUGGUCAGAAUGGCCAUCAUUAAAAAGUCCACAAAUGACAAAUGCUGGAGAGGGUGUGGAGAAAAGGGGACCCUCCUACACUGUUGGUGGGAAUGCAGUUUGGUGCAGCCAUUAUGGAAAACAGUAUGGAGAUUCCUUAAAAACCUAAAAUCAGACUUACCAUAUGAUCCAGCAAUCCCACUCCUGGGCAUAUAUCCAAAGGAAACUCUAAUUCAAAAGGAUGCAUGCCCCCUAAUGUUCAUGGCAACACUAUUUACAACAGCCAAGACAUGGAAGCAACCUGCAUGUCUAUUGACAGAUGGUUGAAUUAAGAAGUUGUGAGAUAUAUAUAUAUAUCAUUACUCCUCAGCCACAAAAAAGAAGGAAAUAAUGCCAUUUGCAGCAACAUGAAUGGACCUGGAGAUUGCCAUACUAAGUGAAGUCAGCCAGAAAGAGAAAUAGCAUAUGAUACCACUUAUAUUUGGAACGUAAAAAAUGAUACAAAUGAACUUAUUUACAAAACAGAGACAGAUUGACAGACAUAGGAAACAAACUUAUGGUUAUCAGGGAGGAAAGGGAGGGUGGAGGGAUAAAUUGGGAAUCUGGGGUUUGCACAUACUAACUGUAUUAACUACUAUAUAUAAAACAAACAACAAGGUCCUACUGUGUAGCGCAGGGAACUAUACUCAAUACCUGUAAUAGCCUAUGUGAAUGAAAUACACUGCCACCCGUAUCAGUAACCAUUAUGCUGUGACCAUCAAGUCAUCAGGGGCUACCGCCACCCCCCUGACAGUGAGCAGAGGGAACUCAGGAUGCAGACAAGCAGGCGGCCCGGCCUCUGCAGCCACCCCCAGCGGCGCCCCCUGAGGGAACACGGGAUGGGAAAGAACAGGGCACUGGCCCUAGACAGCCAGGUGCACAUCAAAGGGAUGAUUUCAGCAAGCCCAGACCUGGGCACCUUCCCAUACAUAGAAAGGCGCUAAUUUCCUUAACUUGAGAUGUCUGGUUUCCUUUAACUGACAGUAAUAUUUUGAUGUGGUCUUUGUUGCAAAAACUCAUGUAUCCUGGCUUCUACCUUGCCACUUUAGAACAGCCUCUCCGAGUGAUCUGAGAGCUCGUGUCCCGGGACUGAGUCCUCAGAAAGUCCGCCAAAUAAAACAUAACUCUCAACUUUUAGGUGGGGCAUUUUAUUUCAGUCAACACUUAUAAUGAAAAAGAAUAUGAAAAGGUAUAUAUAUGUGUGUAUACAGUGAUUCACAACUGAAUCACUAUGCUGUACACCAGAAAUUAACACAACAUUGUAAACCGACUAUACUGCAAUAAAAAGAAAAAAAGAAAAGGAAACAGAAGGGUGAAAGUGCACCUGGAGUGAAAGAAAAAGGGUCAAAAAAUGAGAAUGUAUAGGGUUUUGCCACUGUUCUGCACCGUUCUCUUGUUAAUUUGGCCCUGAAUGUGGAAGGCACCGACAAUUUGGAACAAUGAUUCUGAAUUACCUAAUCAAAAUAUUCUUGAUUGUAUAUUGAUGUACCGCUAUUCAGAUUCAUAUAAUCUCUUUGAUAAGUUUGAUUGGCGCUAAUCUGUUCCGUAGCCUCUAAACUGGUUUGAUUCUUCUCGGGACCCCGCAAUCUAUGGGAGGGGGCAGGACACUUUAGGCCUGCCAGUUAACUGUAUUGUGGUUUAAACGGAACAUUUUGAACUUGAGCAUUUGAUCUAUUUAAAUGCUAUUAAAUCGCAUUAUUUGAUCUAUUAAACCGUAUCAGGACUGGUUUAAAUAUUCUCUUACGUAUGGCUCUCAGACAGAAGCUCAGUCUCUGAGAUGUCACCCGUCUCUCUUCUACGACAUGGUGUCCCAGAGAAUGAAGCUGGUUACGCAUAAUAAAGAGUUUGCCUGGCCUUUGUCCCCGGUUCCUGGGACAGAGACUAAACCCUAGGAAUUUCCUGAGUAAUAGGUGUGACUUUGUUAUUCCUGAGCCUCUGGGGUCACACCAGAGUUUGUCCUAACAAGAUGACUCAGAAUGGAGACUGGUCACCAGAAGGACCAGCCAUGUGAUUAGAAGGGUGAGGUUCUGAGUCACCCUGGCCUCGGGGAAGAAGAGGGGAGCUGGAGACGGAGUUCCAUCACGUGGCCAGUGACUCUACCACUCGGUGGAGCUUCCCGGUUGGUGGACCCACUAAUGUGCUGGGAGGAGAAUGUGCCCCGAUUCCACGGAGGGAGGGCAUGGAAGCUCGGGGUUCCAGGCCUCGCCCUGUGUGAUUCUUCAUUUGUCUGGUCCUGAUUUGGAUCCUUUAUAAUAAAACUGUACUUAUAAGGGUGGUUCUUUCUUGAGUUCAAUGAGUCAGUCAUUCCAGUGAAUUUUUGAAACUAAGGGAAGUCAUGGGGACCUCCUGGACUUGUAGUCAUUUGGUCAGAUGUGCAGGUGGCCUGGGCAUCCCUGACCGUGUGGCUGGCAUCUCAGAGGGAGAAAGUCUUGUCGGGGACUCUGCCCUUUAACCCGAGGAGUCUGACGCUCACUUCGGGGGUUUGCAUCAGAACUGAAUUGUGUCGCCUUACACAAAGGCUGUGCUCAUGGCGGACGAGGAGAGAGAUCUGCUCGGCCUGGUGUCCUUGGGAGUCCUGCUGGGCCACAUCCCCCAGAUCCUGUGCCCUCUGAGGAAGCCAUUCCCAAGUCUGGCUAAGCAGCAGAAUCUCCCGGGUAACCUGCUAAAAAUACAAAAGUCCCUGAGCCCCAGACCAGACCCAGAGAGUUGGAAUCUCUGGAAGGGGAGUCCAGGGGUCCAUACAUUUUAGAAGGUUUUCUGGGUGAUUCGGACCAGCACGGAGGCUUGGAAACCACUGCUUCAGGAUGAGCUGUGCAUUUUCCCUAGGCCCACCUCAGUGAGAACAAGGAAUGCGACGAGGCAGAGGGGUGAGGUACACGGAGGACUCGCUCUGUACCAGCUCCUAGCCUGGGAGCUUUUACGUCAGCACAUCCAAUCUCAAUGACCUCGAGAAACAGAUGGUAGCAAACCCAUUACUACAGAUGAGAAAACCAGAGCUCAAGCAAGGGGUUAGGGCCCUUGUCCAAGGUCCCCACUGGUAACAGAACCAGCUUUGCUAUCUUUUGAAGCUCAUAUUCCUUUUACUUAACCCAUGUACGUUUAAUGCUAGUUACAAUAAAUGAAUAUUUAUA